CUGGGUUUAAAACGUCGUGAGACAGUUUGGUCCCUAUCUGCCGUGGGCGUUGGAAAUUUGAAGGGGGCUGCUCCUAGUACGAGAGGACCGGAGUGGACAGACCUCUGGUGUACCGGUUGUCACGCCAGUGGCAUUGCCGGGUAGCUAAGUCUGGAAGAGAUAACCGCUGAAAGCAUCUAAGCGGGAAACUUGCCUUAAGAUGAGAUUUCCCAGAGCCUUGAGCUCUUUGAAGGGUCGUUCGAGACCAGGACGUUGAUAGGUCAGGUGUGGAAGUGCAGUAAUGCAUUAAGCUAACUGAUACUAAUUGCCCGUACGGCUUGUCCCU
rnacentral:ncRNA from 2 species